UACGAAGGGGGCUAGCGUUGCUCGGAAUCACUGGGCGUAAAGCGCACGUAGGCGGACUCUUAAGUCGGUGGUGAAAUCCUGGAGCUCAACUCCAGAACUGCCUUCGAUACUGAAGAGCUCGAGUCCGGGAGAGGUGAGUGGAACUGCGAGUGUAGAGGUGAAAUUCGUAGAUAUUCGCAAGAACACCAGUGGCGAAGGCGGCUCACUGGCCCGGUACUGACGCUGAGGUGCGAAAGCGUGGGGAGCAAACAGGG
rnacentral:rRNA from 1 species